rnacentral:lncRNA from 1 species
AGAGUUUUAGGCCUUGAUUGUGGCUGGUAAAUCUGUAGUGUGUUCUUGGGAAGGUUUUGUCAAGUCUUGUGGUUAGGUUUUCGAGUUAUUGAGAGAUCCUUGUGGAUCGAUGAUCAUAUAGUGGGUAUGAUGUGGUUUCUUCAACUGGUUGUACACUCUCUUGAAGGUUUCUUGCUAGUGAUGGGCUUACCUCUGAGCCCCCCAGAUUAGGCCAUUUCAGGUUGAACUGGGUGAAAAUUUCUGUGUUCGAUUUUUGUUCUUGCUUUAUUUUUACUGUUUUACGAUUGUUUGUUGGUGUUGGGUCGAUAAUCCUAACAAAUCUGGUAUCAGAGCUCGGUUUUCGAGGCAUCUGCGUGACAUACCUUGCCCUGAGGAUAUUUCAGUGGGUUGAGAAAAAGGUUAAGCGAUCGAACAUAUUUUUUUCGAAUCAGCAUAUUUUUUUUGGAUAUUUCUUGAGAUUUUAAUUUCUGUCCAGAUCUUAAAGAUCUGCACAGAUGUUUAGGAGACUAAUUUUUCUAUUUAAGUGCGAAGGUUAAGAACGAAAAUUGGUCAACCCCUGACCGGCUCCAGUUUUGGCAGGUGAUAGGGUGAUCUCUGAAACACUUGUGAUUGCACUGUUGUUCAACGGUGCUGUGGGUGAGAUCUAAAUAAUAAAAGAGCUCGUAUAAUUUUGGUGCACAAAAUUGCAUGUUUAUUGUUCUGUGGAUUAAGUACUGAAAUUGUACAUUGUGCAUUGAUAAUUGAUCUAACAAUAGGAGCAUGUUUUAGGAAUUAUUCAAAGUUCUUUAUAUUUGUUGAGUAAUUCCUUGAAUUCCAACACAUUGAUUGCUUGUGUACAUUGUUUUUCAGUUGUGCAAGUUAGGAUAAUUGUUUUUCAUUCUGUAAUCUGCAUUCCUUAAAUCAGUUAGGAAGUUUCUUGGUUUUGUUUUUGUAAUCAUAUAUUGAGGUGUCUGUCAUGGCUUCCAGUAGUAGCCACCUCUUUUCAGAACUUAUGAUGGGUUCGAAAGUCGAACUAUCACAAUUCGAUGGAAAGGGGGAUUACUCGAUUUGGAAGCAAAAAAUGAGGGCCAUAUUGGUCCAACGAGGGUUGCUAAAGCCCUGGACGACCCUGACAAAUAUUCUGAUGAACUUAAAGCCAAACCAGAUGAGAUUCUUGAAAUGAAUGAAAUAGCUUAUAGUUCGAUUAUCCUGCACUUAUUUGAUAAUAUUGUAAGACAAGUAGAAGAAUCCAAAACUGCUAGAGAUCUUUGGACAGCCUUAGAUAACUUGUUCUUAACCUAGACUUUACCAAAUAAAAUUUAUCUCCUGGAAAAACUGUUUAGUUUUAAAAUGGAUGAUCGGAAAGACCUGGAAACCAAUUUGAGUGAUUUUAGCAUACUGGUGAAGAGUCUUGCUCAUAAUGAUAAAAAAUUUGAAGAUGAGGAUCUUGCAGUAAUCCUUCUAAACUCUUUACCUGAUUCUUAUAAGGAUAUCAAAAAUGCUAUAAAAUACUCAAGAGAUGCAUUAACACAAUCAAUCGUGACAAAUGCCCUAAGAUCUAGGGAACUGGAAGUCAAGAAAGAAUCUAAACUAAACUCAAGAGAAGAGAGUUUAUUUGUGAGAGGAAGACCAGAAAAGAGGGAAAGUAAUUCCCAGAACAAAAGAUUCAAGUCCAAAUCCAAAAUCAAAUCUAAAUCAAGAGACAAAAGCAAUAAAAAAUGCUAUCACUGUGGGAAACUUGGACAUUUUAAAAGAGACUGUUAUGAGCUAAAGAAGAAGCUAAAAGAAUCCAGCAACAUUGAGUUAAAUAAUGCUGCUGUGAGUUCUGAACUUGACAGUCUUCUUGUAAUGACUGUGACAAAUGAAGAAACAAAUACUAAUUGGAUUCUGAAUUCUGGAUGUACAUUUCAUAUGUGCCCAAACAAAUCUUGGUUUCAUAACUACAAGAAGAUAGAACCCAGAAAAGUAUAUAUGGGUGAUAACAAUUCACAAAAUGUAUUGGGAAUUGGGGACAUUUCAAUCAAAAUGUAUGAUGGAAGUGUUAGACUGAUUAAAAAUGUGAGACAUGUCCCAAAUCUAAAAAGAAACCUCAUUUCAUUGGGGAUUCUUGAAGAUGAGGGACAUACAUUUAAAUCUGAUAAUAACACUUUGAAAAUCUUGAAAGGAUCUCAUGUAGUCAUGAAGGGGCCUAAAAGGAAUGGGCUAUAUUACUUAAUGGGAAAAGCUGUUAAUUCCCAGGACUCAAAUUCUUUAACUAUAACUGAGUGCAAAUCUGAAUUGUGGCAUUGUAGAAUGGGUCAUAUUGGAAAUAAGGGCUUAAAGUAUCUUAAUGACCAAAAAUUGUUUGGGAAAGAUAAAGUCGAACCCCUUAACUUUUGUGAAACAUGUGUGUUAGGGAAGUCUCAUAGAGUGAGUUUUGAGACCGGGUCACACACAACAAAUAGACCUUUGGACUAUGUCCAUGCGGAUUUAUGGGGGCCAGAAAAUCACCCAACCUUUGGCGGAGAUAAAUAUUUUCUUUCUAAAAUUGAUGAUUAUUCUAGAAAGGUCUGGACCUACCCUUUGAAAUCCAAAAAUGAAACUUUUCAAAAAUUCAGAUUGUGGUUAAAGAUGGUUGAGAACCAAUUGGACAAGAAAUUAAAAACCUUAAGGACAGAUAAUGGGUUGGAAUUUUGCAAUGCUGAAUUUGAUAAUUUUUGCAAGCAAAAAGGAAUUAUUAGACAUAGAACUGUUAAGCAUACUCCCCAACAAAAUGGGGUUGUUGAGAGAAUGAAUAGAACCCUUAUGAAUAAGUUAAGAUGUAUGCUGAUCAGUUCUGGGCUUGCAAAAGGAUUUUGGGCAGAGGCUUUAUGCACUGCUGCCUACCUCAUAAAUAGGUCCCCUUAUAGUUCUGUAGAGUUUAAAACUCCACGGGAACUAUGGACUGAAAAACUACCAAAUCUGUCACACUUAAGAGUUUUUGGUUGUGCUGCAUAUGCACAUCAAGUUGAGGGAAAAUUAGAUCCGAGGGCUACCAAGUGUGUUAUGCUUGGAUACCCUGAAGGAGUUAAAGGGUACAGGUUAUGGGUACUUGGUAUUAAAGGAAUAAAAAUCAUUAACAGUAGAAAUGUGGUGUUUAAUGAAACUGAGAUGCCUUGUUUGAAGAAUAAUAUGGAUAAAUCAGAUCUGGCUGAAAAGGGUACUUCCCAAAGUGAGGUGAAGUUGGCAAAAUUAAAUAACAGCAGAUCUGAUGUAACUGAAUCAAAACCUGUACAGGUCAUUGAAAGUAUAGAAAAUACUGAUGAAGGUGAAGUUGAUCCACCCCAAACUGGAACUGAAACAGAAUCUGAAACAAUGGCAUCUAACUACCCAGAAAAUGAACCUAGUACCAGAGAUUAUCAAUUGGUGAGAGAUAGGGACAGGAGACAGAUUAAACCUAACCCUAGGUAUGAAAUGAAUAAUCUGACCAAAUUUGCCCUCAUCUCUGGUGAAAACGUAGAACAUUCUGAACCCUCUUCUUAUGAAGAAGCAAUGAAUAGUUCUAAGUCAAAAGAAUGGAAAGAAGCAAUGAAAGAAGAAAUGAAAUCCCUUCUUGAAAAUAAAACCUGGAAACUUGUAAAGAAGCCAAAGACCAAAGAGUGGUUCAGUGUAAGUGGAUCUUUAAGUUUAAGGAAGGUAUUUCUAAAUCUGAUCCUUUGAGGUAUAAGGCAAGGCUUGUAGCCAAAAGGUUCACUUAAAGGGAGGGAGUUGAUUACAAUAAAAUUUUUUCACCUGUAAUCAAAUAUAAAACCAUAAGACUCAUUUUGGCUCUAGUUGUUCAAUUUGAUUGGGAAUUAGAACAAUUAGAUGUGAAAACUACCUUUUUACAUGGGGAAUUGGAAGAGGACAUUUAUAUGUGUCAACCUCAAGGUUUUGAAGAAAGGGGGGAAUCUGAUUUUGUUUGUAAAUUGCAAAAAUCACUGUAUGGACUGAAACAAAGUCCAAGACAGUGGUAUAUAAGGUUUGACACAUAUGUUUUGAAAAUUGGUUUUAGAAGGAGUGAAUAUGAUCACUGUUUAUACUAUAAUAAUUCUAAUUAUACUAUAAUAAUUCUAAAACCGGGUCUAAAACGUAUCUACUACUCUACGUAGAUGAUAUGCUUCUUGCCAGCCCCAGUAAAGCUGAAAUAAUGAGGCUGAAAAACCUAUUAAAGUCUGAAUUUGAUAUGAAGGACUUAGGAAAUGCCAAGAAAAUUUUAGGGAUGGUGAUAAAUCGAAAUAGGCAAGAAAACAUGCUAACCAUAUCACAAGAACCCUACCUACACAAAGUUAUAAUGAAGUUUGGCAUGAAAGAAGCUAAGUCCGUCAAUGUUCCCCUUGCUGCCCAUAUGAAUCUCUCAUCAGCCCAGUGUCCAAAAACUGAAUCUGAAAUUAAAGAUAUGACAAAUAUCCCAUAUGCCAAUGCAAUUGGAUCUGUUAUGUUUUCCAUGAUUACAACACGACCAGAUCUUGCAUAUUCAAUCAGUUUUUUAAGUAGGUUUAUGGCAAACCCUGGAAAACCACAUUGGGCUGGGUUAAAGUGGCUACUUAGAUACAUAGUUGGGACACUAAAUGUAGGAUUGGUGUUCAAAAAGGGAUCGAAACUAUUAACUCUUAAAGGAUAUGUGGAUUCCGAUUUCGCUGGAGAUAAAGAUCAAAGAAAGUCUACAAUUGCCUUCUUUUUUACACUUGGUGAUAAUUGUAUUACGUGGAAGUCUCAACUUCAAUCAAUUGUAACUUUGUCUAGCACUGAAGCUAAAUAUGUGGCAAUUACUGAAUGUGUAAAAGAAUGCAUGUGGCUUAAAGGGAUCUUAACUGAACUGAAUUUUCUAAAUACUCCACCUGUGAUAUUAACUGAUAGUCAAAGUGCUUUACUUUUAAGCAAAAAUCUUGUCUAUCAUGAAAGGUCAAAACACAUUGAGGUGAAGUAUCAUUUCAUAAGAGAAAAACUCUCAUCUGGUGAAAUGGCUCUUGAGAAAAUUCAUACUGAUUUUAAUCCUGCUGAUAUGGGGACUAAAAUACUGACUGUUAAUAAAUUCAAAUCUUGUUUAUCAUUGCUUAAUAUUGAUACAGGUUGAUUUUUGUGCAGGUACUUGGGCAAUGAUGUAGGGUAAGGUUCUGUCACUAGCAUUAUAGCAACAAGAGAGGAAGUGCGCGGUUUGAGAACCAAGGUGAAGAUUUGUGAAGUCGUGAUUCUCAAACAACACAUCCAUAAGUGAAAAAACGUUUUCUACUCUUUAUACGCCAUGGACAGAUGGCAUUCGGUUAUUGGAUAAAAUAAUGUCACUAGAGUUGUGGUUUUUCUCUUAUCAUUUAUGGACCAUUGAUCCACAUCUAUGGUUGAGAUUUAGUCUCAUAUAAUUAAUGCAAAAGGAGACUUUAAGGGUUGAUGAGAAGAAGUCAGCCGGCACUUUUCUUUUCAUUUGGCAGAAAUUGUCCCUUCAAGUUUCUCUCUCUCUCUCUCUCUCUCUCUCUCGUUCCUUCAUGUUUCUGCUUCUUCCUUUCUCUUUUGAAUUGAAGAACCAGUGAAGGUUAUUGUAAUAAUCUUGUUGUUAUUUGAUGAUGAUAGAACUAUGGUACAGAGUUUUAGGCCUUGAUUGUGGCUGGUAAAUCUGUAGUGUGUUCUUGGGAAGGUUUUAUCUAGUCUUGUGGCUAGGUUUUCGAGUUAUUGAGAGAUCCUUGUGGAUCGAUGAUCAUAUAGUGGGUAUGAUGUGGUUUCUUCAACUGGUUGUACACUCUCUUGAAGGUUUCUUGCUAGUGAUGGGCUUACCUCUGAGGCCCCCAGAUUAGGCCAUUUCAGGCUAAACUGGGUGAAAAUUUCUGUGUUCGAUUUUUGUUCUUGCUUUAUUUUUACUGUUUUACGAUUGUUUGUUGGUGUUGGGUCGAUAAUCCUAACACAAGAUUUUUCAGAUAAUGAUCUUUAUG